AUGAGGACAGAUUCAGCGCGCUCCCCGACGACGUCCUCCGAGGAAUCCUGGAGCGCCUCGACCUGCGCGAGGUGGUCCGCGCCCGCGCAGUCUCCACGCGGUGGCGGCACCUCCCCCACCUGCUCCCGCGCCUGCAUCAACGUCCGCCACUUCGUCGGAGACAAUUCGGCGGUCUUGAUCACUGGGAAUUCUCCCAUGGCCGACGUCAUGGAGGCGUUCACGGGCGCGCUGUGCAGUUUACUGUCUGCAUGUCCUCCUCCGGCCCAGUGCAAGUGCGCUAUCAAGACCCUCAGCCUCCGCUUCUUCCCUAUGUCGGACCUGAGCUCCAUAGGCCGCGCCGUCGAGGACGCUGUCGCCCGCGGUGAGAUUGAAUGCCUUGAAUUUCACACGUGCUCGCCAUACAGUUUACGGACUGGUUUCAACACUGAAGGGCUGCGUGCUGAGCUGGGGCAGCUGUUCAUGUCCUUCUCCCGUGCCUGUCCAGUUACCUUCCGGUGGCUCACGAUGCUUAAAUUCAACGACCUUGUGUUUGGCCAUUCUGACGUCACCGAUCUCAUUAGAGCUUGCGAUAGGCUCAGACACCUCACCCUGAGUUCCUGCGGACUGGUUGAUCGGCACUCUGUGCUCAAGAUCGACACGCCACGCUCCGGGCUCCACGAGCUCUGCUUCAUCGGCUUUCGUUGCAGAUAG
rnacentral:rRNA from 1 species